GGGUGUGUUGGUGGUGACUGUAUUGAAGAUGUUCACCAACACGAGGAACAGGGUAACCAGUAAGGCCAUUCGUCCCGGGAUCACAUCCAUCGGGAUCAGGAAACUGAUCCAGCUCACUAUCACAAAGAGUCCACUAGUGCUGCUAUUCCGGAAGUCUUGGUGAAAGUCAAGGAACAAAUGAGAAAGAGAUGAGUAAAAAAAGACGGCCACUCGUUAAUCUCAAGAAUCCGGUGGCAGGAAGUUAGAGGAGCUUGCCAAAACCCUCUUGGACCGAAGGGUGGAAGUCAAUUCAUAUGGGAUCCCAUAAAGAUCUCACAAACCAAGUCAAGGGACUUAUUGUUGAAGUGAGCCUUGGACGAAAAAACCCUUAAUGUAAUCAAUAGAGCGUAGAUUUGAAAGUAUUUGCGACCAAAAUAUUUCUGUUAUGACUUUGGAGUAAAAACCGUUUUUUUGUCUUUUUCCA